AUACUUACCUGACAGGGGAGAUACCAUGAUCAUGAAGGUGGUUUUCCCAGGGUGAGGCUCAUCCAUUGCACUUCAGGUAUGCUGACCCCUGCAAUUUCCCCAAAUGCAGGAAAGUCAACUGCACAAUUUGUGGUAGUGGGGUACUGUGUUUGUGCUUUCCCCUG
rnacentral:snRNA from 1 species